UUUUUUCUCGCCUUAAUAUUCAACUCCAACACAAUCUAACUCUUACGAUCGGCGGAGGAUACAUUCUUAGAGACCGUGUUGGCUCGUAGGUUUGUGAAUUUAGAGUGCUUGGCUCGUAGCUUACCUCCACAUCAUUUACCUCAAGUAUUCCAAGAGCGUGCUUACAAAAAAGGGACCGUGUUGGCUCUAUUAUCCUAUAUUUAUAUGAACGAACUGAAUCCGACAGCUUCGCAUCGGUCUUAGGAGGGCUUUCCAAAGCGUCCAACCAGGCCUCACAACCUACUCCAGAAGAAACUACAAUCACCAUCUGAUAUAUUCCCAACGACGAGCAGUGCCAUCCUUCGACGGGCCCAACAUGACCUGCCUUUGAAUUCCACUGAGACUAACUUGCGUUGUAAGCUCUCAUUUCCAUCAUAAUCCAAACAAUUUAAUCUUACGGCUUUGAAAAUAUUGUUAAACAGACAUCAUCAAUACAAAAAGAAGUCAAUCGGUUAUCAUCUGAGAUUCUAAACAUGCCAUAAUAAAAUGCCCGAUUAAUCAUACUCUAAUCUCUUACGAGGUGGAUCUCUGAUGUCACAUGGAAGACAGUUCGGAUUAAGCAUGCACACAUUUGGCUUGACAUCCUUAUAAGAAGAAGGUGUAUGAUGCAGAUACUAAUAAAUCUUUGGAGAUGAAUAAAAAAAAUCCCAUCAGUAUAUACCCAAAAGAAAAACGCUGAGUUGCACAACAAUAAUGACUAAUAAAUAAAUCUGCACAGGCGAAUUAUUACAAUGAAUCACAAAUAAACAAAGACCUAAAAUGCAGGUUAUUUUAAACCAUUAGAAUCUCGACCAGAUAUUCACAAACUCGAACACCUAGAUUCGACAAUACAAAACAUUCCCAAGAAUAUUUACAUUGAAAACAUUACUUUUUGUUGGUAAUCAACACUGGAAAAGCCUGAAUAGUUCACGAUAAUUAACCACACAAAGAGCCACAACCAGCCACAAUAAUAACUCUGAUGAACACAAAAAAAAGUCUGAUGAGCUUGCAUAAACCCACUGAUUAGCCAACAUAGAACAAGAAAAGCAUGACAUAAGCAUGCAAGUUUGAUGAGUAGCACAUGGUCAGAUCAAAGCAAACUUUCGGUUUUUUGCCAUCUUUAUCUAGCAUUAUUAGACUCUGCUAGAACUACUUUUCCAGUGACCCCCUUGUAUACAUACAUGCAUUAAGGCAGUUCAGCUCCACGUGAUGCUCAUUCACCAAUGAGCCUACUGAGAAACUCACUUAUUAGCCAACAUAGGACAAGAGAAGCAUGACCUAAGCACACAUGCUUAACAAAAAGCACACUAUCUGCUAAAAGCAAACUUUAGUUUUUUUCGUCAUCAUCAUUGAACAUUAUUAGACUCUAGAUCUACUUUGCUAGUAACCCCCUUGUAUAUAUGCAUUAAGGCGGUCCAGCUCCUCCCGAUGCUCAUUCACCACUGCUCGAACAACAUCACCAAUGGAGACCAUGCCAAUCAUACCUUUG
rnacentral:lncRNA from 1 species